rnacentral:rRNA from 1 species
UGAACGCUAGCGGCAGGCUUAAUACAUGCAAGUCGAGGGGCAGCAGGGUGUAGCAAUACAUCGCUGGCGACCGGCAAACGGGUGCGGAACACGUACGCAACCUUCCUUCAAGUGGAGAAUAGCCCAGGGAAACUUGGAUUAAUACUUCGUAACAUUAUGAAAUGGCAUCAUUUUAUAAUUAUAGCUCAGGCGCUUGAAGAUGGGCGUGCGGCUGAUUAGGUAGUUGGCGGGGUAACGGCCCACCAAGCCUACGAUCAGUAACUGGUGUGAGAGCACGACCAGUCACACGGGCACUGAGACACGGGCCCGACUCCUACGGGAGGCAGCAGUAAGGAAUAUUGGUCAAUGGACGCAAGUCUGAACCAGCCAUGCCGCGUGGAGGAUGAAGGUCCUCUGGAUUGUAAACUUCUUUUAUCUGGGAAGAAACCCACGUUUUCUAAUGUGGUUGAUGGUACCAGAUGAAUAAGCACCGGCUAACUCCGUGCCAGCAGCCGCGGUAAUACGGAGGGUGCAAGCGUUAUCCGGAUUCACUGGGUUUAAAGGGUGCGUAGGCGGGUUGGUAAGUCCGUGGUGAAAUCCCCAAGCUUAACUUGGGAACUGCCGUGGAUACUAUCAAUCUUGAAUAUCGUGGAGGUAAGCGGAAUAUGUCAUGUAGCGGUGAAAUGCUUAGAUAUGACAUAGAACACCAAUUGCGUAGGCAGCUUACUACACGAUCAUUGACGCUGAGGCACGAAA